rnacentral:rRNA from 1 species
GACGAACGCUGGCGGCGUGCUUAACACAUGCAAGUCGAACGAUGAAGCCUAGCUUGCUAGGUGGAUUAGUGGCGAACGGGUGAGUAAUACGUGAGUAACCUACCUUUAACUCUGGGAUAAGCCUGGGAAACUGGGUCUAAUACCGGAUACGACCAAUCUCCGCAUGGGGUGUUGGUGGAAAGCGUUAUGUAGUGGUUAUAGAUGGGCUCACGGCCUAUCAGCUUGUUGGUGAGGUAACGGCUCACCAAGGCGACGACGGGUAGCCGGCCUGAGAGGGUGACCGGCCACACUGGGACUGAGACACGGCCCAGACUCCUACGGGAGGCAGCAGUGGGGAAUAUUGCACAAUGGGCGCAAGCCUGAUGCAGCGACGCCGCGUGAGGGAUGACGGCCUUCGGGUUGUAAACCUCUGUUAGCAGGGAAGAGGAGAGAUUGACGGUACCUGCAGAGAAAGCGCCGGCUAACUACGUGCCAGCAGCCGCGGUAAUACGUAGGGCGCGAGCGUUGUCCGGAAUUAUUGGGCGUAAAGAGCUUGUAGGCGGUUUGUCGCGUCUGCUGUGAAGGCCGGAGCUUAACUCCGUGUAUUGCAGUGGGUACGGGCAGACUAGAGUGCAGUAGGGGAGACUGGAAUUCCUGGUGUAGCGGUGGAAUGCGCAGAUAUCAGGAGGAACACCGAUGGCGAAGGCAGGUCUCUGGGCUGUAACUGACGCUGAGAAGCGAAAGCAUGGGGAGCGAACAGGAUUAGAUACCCUGGUAGUCCAUGCCGUAAACGUUGGGCACUAGGUGUGGGGAACAUUCCACGUUUUCCGCGCCGUAGCUAACGCAUUAAGUGCCCCGCCUGGGGAGUACGGCCGCAAGGCUAAAACUCAAAGAAAUUGACGGGGGCCCGCACAAGCGGCGGAGCAUGCGGAUUAAUUCGAUGCAACGCGAAGAACCUUACCAAGGCUUGACAUAUACUGGACCGCAUCAGAGAUGGUGUUUCCCUUCGGGGCUGGUAUACAGGUGGUGCAUGGUUGUCGUCAGCUCGUGUCGUGAGAUGUUGGGUUAAGUCCCGCAACGAGCGCAACCCUCGUUCUAUGUUGCCAGCACGUUAUGGUGGGGACUCAUAGGAGACUGCCGGGGUCAACUCGGAGGAAGGUGGGGAUGACGUCAAAUCAUCAUGCCCCUUAUGUCUUGGGCUUCACGCAUGUUACAAUGGCCGGUACAGAGGGUUGCGAUACUGUGAGGUGGAGCUAAUCCCUAAAAGCCGGUCUCAGUUCGGAUUGGGGUCUGCAACUCGACCCCAUGAAGUCGGAGUCGCUAGUAAUCGCAGAUCAGCAACGCUGCGGUGAAUACGUUCCCGGGCCU